rnacentral:rRNA from 1 species
GACGAACGCUGGCGGCGUGCUUAACACAUGCAAGUCGAACGGAAAGGCGCGGCUCGGGUGGGGUGCUCGAGGGGCGAAGGGGUGAGUAACACGGGAGUAACCUGAGCUGGAGGGGGGGAUAACGUGAGGAAAGGGGGGAUAAUACAGGAUAGGAGCGGGUGCUGCAGGGGGGGGGAAGGAAAGUGCGGGCGGGGGGGGAUGGACGCGCGGCUUAUCAGCUUGUUGGUGGGGGAGUGGCUUACCAAGGCUUUGGCGGGUGGCCCGCCUGAGAGGGUGACCGGCCCCCUUGGUCCUGAGAUACGCCCCAGUCUCCUACUGGAGGCAGCAGUGGGGACUAUUGCCCAAUCGGCGGACGCCUGAUGCAGCAACGCCGCGUGCGGGAUGACCGUCUUCGCGUUGUAAACCCCUUUCGCCUGUUACGACGCGUGAGUGACGGUACUGGAUAAAUAAGCACCGGCUAACUACGUG